rnacentral:lncRNA from 1 species
CUGCUUAUUUAUGGUAUAGAAUAAUGGAGCCAAAAUCCUUUGAACACAUUCCUAUCACUCCAGUUGUAUCUUCACCUAUUUCCGAACCCAACAAAGCCAUAUAUGAACUUAUCGUAAGAUGAUAGGAUUCCAUAAUCAUUUGUUUCCCAAUGGUAAUGAAUGAAAAACUUACAACAAAGCCACUAAGUUAGCUCUUCAUGGAAAUGAAAAAAGAGAAAAACAAAGAAAGAAAACAUGAGGUUUUACGUUGUAUUACAAACACUAGCCACGAACCAGAUGCAUCAUGGUGCUCAGACCAUUUUCUGCGAUCAAUGCUUCNAAUUAAAUAAAAAAGUUUAUUUCUAAAAUAGUAAUGUGAUUUUAACGGGAAAACAUAACUUACUAUUUAUACAAGUGGUUGAGCUUUUAUAUAUAGAUUGAUAUACAAUCGUAAUGUUUGAUUAAUCUUAAAUUUCAAAUGGUUUACAUAUGUUGAUUAAAUAUUCAAGAAAUAAUAAAUAAAUCUUAAAGUACAGUUUUAAUCAUAAAUCUUAUCAAUAUAAAGUAUUUUAAUAAUAUUAUAAUUAUUUAUUGAACAGUUUGUUUACAUUUUAUUCGUAAAUAUAAAAUAUUUAAAAAAUAAAAAAUUAACUAAUACUUUAAUUGGGGCAAUAUGAAAAAUUACAAUAAAAAUAUUCAUAUAAUCUGAAAUAGACGAAAUUAAAAUUAAAUAAAAAAGUUUAUUUCUAAAAAUAGUAACGUGAUUUUAGCGGGAGAACAUAACUUACUAUUUAUAUAAGUGGUUGAGCUUUUAUAUAUAGAUAGAUAGAUUGAAAGAAUUUGAUACUAAUGCAACAUUUCAAAAAUUAUGUUAAAAUUGUAAAAGUUCAUGCAUUGAUUGACAAUUAAUCCUAAAUUCAAACACAAAAUACGUAAAAUAAAACGUUAACAACAUAUGUAAUCCCGUGCAUCGCACGGGUAAAACACUAGUUACUGCUUAUUUAUGGUAUAGAAUAAUGGAGCCAAAAUCCUUUGAACACAUUCCUAUCACUCCAGUUGUAUCUUCACCUAUUUCCGAACCCAACAAAGCCAUAUAUCAACUUAUCGUAAGAUGAUAGGAUUCCAUAAUCAUUUGUUUCCCAAUGGUAAUGAAUGAAAAACUUACAACAAAGCCACUAAGUUAGCUCUUCAUGGAAAUGAAAAAAGAGAAAAACAAAGAAAGAAAACAUGAGGUUUUACGUUGUAUUACAAACACUAGCCACGAACCAGAUGCAUCAUGGUGCUCAGACCAUUUUCUGCGAUCAAUGCUUCACACAUUUACUCGGACAAAUUGUUUACGCGACAUCUCAAUUCCUCAUACACUAAACACCUACAACAUGAUUAUAAUGACAAAUAAUGAAAAAUGAAAAACAACUCAAAUUACCUGGACAAUCAAUCAAAGUUUAGCUGGGUCAAGGUCUACCGAAAAAUUGCAGAACCCAAACUAUGUCAUUCAGUCGAUAAGGGGUAAAUUUGGAAGUAAUGUACAACAGCCACUCUGGUCAUCUCCUACCCGCUCUAGAUCCUAAAACACAAAAGUCAGUGAUUAGGCACAUCAACGGUGUUCAGUUAAAAUGUUUACUUGUGCACAUUAUACUUACUAGAACGCUUUAUGUUGCGGCAGAAUUUGCUACCACAUUGACAACGGAACGCCUUAAUAGGGUGCUCAUG